rnacentral:RNase_P_RNA from 1 species
GUGAGGUGUUGUGUAGCUGCUGUGGCCAGCGCCAUAGAGGAAAGUCCGGGCUCCGAACAAACAUAGUGCCGGAUAACGUCCGGCGGGGCGGUCGUCAAGGGUCGCUCUAGGGAAAGUGCAACAGAAAAGAUACCGCUAAUGGGGUUUUCCCUAUUAGUAAGGGUGAAAUGGUGCGGUAAGAGCGCACCGCAAUUGUGGUAACACAGUUGGCAUUGUAAACCCCACUAGGAGCAAGGCCGAAUAGGGAUCCGUUUCGAAAGAAAGGCGUGUUUGUCGCUAAUGGAUUCGGGUUGGCUGCUUGAGCUUAUUGGUAACAAUAAGCCUAGAUGAAUAGCUACAGAGGAAUAUUUCCAGACAGAACCCGGCUUAUAGGCAUUUCGCGCUG